rnacentral:rRNA from 1 species
GAUGAACGCUGGCGGCGUGCCUAACACAUGCAAGUCGAGCGAUUUACUUCGGUAAAGAGCGGCGGACGGGUGAGUAACGCGUGGGUAACCUGCCUCAUACACGUGGAUAACAUACCGAAAGGUAUGCUAAUACAGGAUAAUAUAAGAGAUUCACAUGGAUUUCUUAUCAAAGCUCCGGCGGUAUGAGAUGGACCCGCGUCUGAUUAGCUAGUUGGUAAGGUAAUGGCUUACCAAGGCGACGAUCAGUAGCCGACCUGAGAGGGUGAUCGGCCACAUUGGAACUGAGACACGGUCCAAACUCCUACGGGAGGCAGCAGUGGGGAAUAUUGCACAAUGGGCGAAAGCUUGAUGCAGCAACGCCGCGUGAGUGAUGAAGGCCUUCGGGUCGUAAAACUCUGUCCUCAAGGAAGAUAAUGACGGUACUUGAGGAGGAAGCCCCGGCUAACUACGUGCCAGCCGCCGCCGUAACAC